ACGAUAAGUGUGCAGGCAGGCGGCGGAAAAAUAAGGCCGAAAAAUUUGUAGUUUUUCAAGUGCUUUAUUUUUCUGGAUAAUUUUUUAUCAUUCUACAAUUCUUGUUGAAUCUUGUUGAAGCCAAAAAGGAUAAGUUCCAAGACCAAGAUGGGCUCAGGACGUAUUCCAGGACUGAAAUUGUUUCAGGGUCUGAUAUAGGACUGACAUGAGUUCAACAACAGUUGUACUACCGGUAUGAGAUCUGAGCCGUUCCAGGAGCGUUAUGGUUUUUGGAUCAGUUCCAGGAUCAAUAUGGGUUCAAGAUCAGUUCUAAGACCUGUCCAUUUUCAUCCAUCUCAAUCAUCCGCGACGAGCUCUUUUAGGCGUCUGGGCAUCGGAACACCGUACAGCUCGUAAAGCAACGAGUUGCCGAC